CGGGUGAGUAACACGUGGAUAACCUACCUAUAAGACUGGGAUAACUUCGGGAAACCGGAGCUAAUACCGGAUAAUAUAUUGAACCGCAUGGUUCAAUGGUGAAAGACGGUUUUGCUGUCACUUAUAGAUGGAUCCGCGCCGCAUUAGCUAGUUGGUAAGGUAACGGCUUACCAAGGCAACGAUGCGUAGCCGACCUGAGAGGGUGAUCGGCCACACUGAACUGAGACACGGUCCAGACUCCUACGGGAGGCAGCAGCA
rnacentral:rRNA from 1 species